rnacentral:rRNA from 1 species
UACGAAGGGGGCUAGCGUUGCUCGGAAUCACUGGGCGUAAAGGGCGCGUAGGCGGAUUUCUAAGUCAGAGGUGAAAGCCCAGGGCUCAACCCUGGAAUUGCCUUUGAUACUGGAGAUCUAGAGACCGGAAGAGGUAAGUGGAACUGCGAGUGUAGAGGUGAAAUUCGUAGAUAUUCGCAAGAACACCAGUGGCGAAGGCGGCGACCUGGUCCGAUACUGACGCUGAGGCGCGAAAGCGUGGGGAGCAAACAGG